rnacentral:rRNA from 1 species
CCUGAUCCAGCCAUGCCGCGUGUGUGAAGAAGGCCUUCGGGUUGUAAAGCNCUUUCGGCCGGAACGAAAUCGCGCGAUCUAAUAGCCCGCGUGGAUGACGGUACCGUAAGAAGAAGCACCGGCUAACUACGUGCCAGCAGCCGCGGUAAUACGUAGGGUGCGAGCGUUAAUCGGAAUUACUGGGCGUAAAGUGUGCGCAGGUGGCUGAGCAAGUCGAGUGUGAAAUCCCCGGGCUUAACUUGGAAAUUGCGCUCGAAACUACUUGGCUCGAGUGUGGCAGAGGAAGGUGGAAUUCCACGUGUAGCGGUGAAAUGCGUAGAGAUGUGGAGGAACACCGAUGGCGAAGGCACCCUUCUGGGCCAACACUGACGCUCAUGCACGAAAGCGUGGGGAGCAAACAGGAUUACAUACCCUGGUAACCCACGCCCUAAACGAUGAUGACUAGUUGUUGGGAGACUUAAAUCCCUUAGUAACGCGCCUAACGCGUGAAGUCAUCCGCCUGGGGAGUACGGUCGCAAGAUUAAAACUCAAAGGAAUUUGACGG